rnacentral:rRNA from 1 species
GGCUCAGAACGAACGCUGGUGGUAUGCCUAAUACAUGCAAGUCGAACGAGAAAGCUCUUCGGAGUGAGUACAGUGGCGCACGGGUGAGUAACGCGUAGGUGAUCUGCCUUUUAGUGGGGGACAACAUCGGGAAACCGGUGCUAAUACCGCAUGUGGUAAGUGACAUUGAAAAAGCUUAUCAAAGAGGGCUUCGGCUCUCGCUAGAAGAGGAGCCUGCGUGACAUUAGUUUGAUGGUGGGGUAACGGCCCACCAUGGCGAUGAUGUCUAGCUGGUCUGAGAGGAUGAUCAGUCACACUGGAACUGAGACACGGUCCAGACUCCUACGGGAGGCAGCAGUAGGGAAUAUUGCGCAAUGGGGGAAACCCUGACGCAGCAAUACCACGUGAGUGAGGAAGGGUUUCGGCUCGUAAAGCUCUGUCCUAAGGGAAGAACGGUAGAUCGGUUAAUACCCGGACUAUUUGACGGUACCUUAGAAGAAAGCACCGGCUAACUCCGUGCCAGCAGCCGCGGUAAUACGGAGGGUGCAAGCGUUGUUCGGAUUUAUUGGGCGUAAAGCGCGCGCAGGCGGACUAGUAAGUCAGAUGUGAAAUCCCAGGGCCUAACCCUGGAACUGCGUCUGAAACUGCAAGUCUAGAAUCUUAUAGGGGGUGGGGGAAUUUCACGUGUAGGGGUAAAAUCCGUAGAGAUGUGAAGGAACACCAGAGGCGAAGGCGC